AUGAAUCGAUCUUCCCUCUCCCUCUGUUGCUGGAAUGUCAGAGGCUUAGGUCAGCCCCAAAAAUGCUCCGAUGUUCUUUCUGAACUCUUCUCGAUUCGGCCAAAUGUGUGUUUCCUUCAGGAGACAAAACUAUCGUCUCCGGAUGCUUCUAAACUCAGGUCUUUCAUCCCUAGACAGCUUGACCUGGUCCAAUACAAAGACGCCGAUGGCUCCUCUGGGGGCAUUCUCUCAGCCCUGUCCUCGGCCCAUUUUACAUUCUGUACUUGUAUGCAAUCGAGGUUUACACUUACGGUCGUGGUCACUACGUUAGCUUCCCCCCUACUGCUACAUAUUACCAACGUAUAUGCGCCCACUGAUCACUCCCUUAAACCGGUAUUUCUCGACGAACUAGCUUCAAUUUCACCUGCACCAAACACUCCUUGGAUCGUGCUCGGUGACUUCAAUCUCAUGCGUCGUGCACAGGACAAAAAUAACGACUCCUUCCGUCAAAACGAGGCGGACUUGUUUAAUCUCUGUAUAAACAAUCUAGCCCUUAUUGAACUUCCCCUACUGGAUAGAGCGUUCACCUGGUCAAAUAAGCGUGAUAAACCCACUCUAGAAAAGUUGGACCGUGUUUUCAUUAACACUGCUUGGGAUCAGUCUUCCCCUGACUCAACUAUCUCCAGCCUUACACGGUAUGUGUCUGACCAUGUCCCUCUAAUUAUCAGCAGCAACACCACAAUCCCCCGUCCCACGCUUUUUCGUUUCGAACUAGGUUGGGCCCAAUCUCCAGCCUGUUGGGGUGUGGUCCAAUCUUCAUGGGCUGCUGCCCCGCUGCUCUCAAACGCCCCCCUUUCCCUAACCCGCGCGUUAAAGAAAUGUCAUUUUGCCCUACGAUCGUGGCGAAAGUCAAUUCUUCCGAUCUCUGUGCGGGAGAAAAACUGCAAAACUGUCAUAAACCUUCUAGACUGGAUUGAAGAGUCUGGUUUCCUCUCGCAGCCCGAGCUUGCCCUGCGCCGAGUAGUUAUUAAGGUUCUACACUGCAUCACCCGUGAAAAAAUCAUUUAUUGGCGGUUUAGAUCAAAAAUUAAAUCGGCUAUCGACGGGGAUGAGAACUCCAGAUUUUACCAGGACUCUGCCUCUCACAGACAUCGUCAUAACAAAAUCCCCAUGAUAUUGCAUGAUAACCAGGAAUUCAACUCACAUGAAUCAAAAGUGGAAAUCCUCUCCUCUUUCUUUUCCUCCAUUCUCGGAGUAUCUUCAGCUCCAACAUGGAACUUCUCACUCCAAAACCUCUACCCCUCACAAACACCACAGCUACUUCACCUAGACUCACCUUUCUCGGGACAGGAAGUUUAUGACGCCUUUGCAGACAUGAACCUUAUGGCUAGCCCUGGUCCUGACGGACUUGGGCCGGGUUUCUACCGAAAAUUUUGGCCGAUCCUUAAGCAGAAAGUGACAGAUCUAUUCACCAGCUUCUACAAUCACUCCGCUGAUAUCUCAUGUAUUAACCGAGCUUACAUUGUUCUCCUUCCAAAAGGGGAUGCCCUCCCUUCUCUUGGCGCUUUCAGCCCUAUUUCGCUUCAAAAUUGCCCGGUUAAAGCACUCGCCAAGCUUCUCACAAACCGCCUCAAACCUGUUAUCGCACUGCUCGUCCACCUUGAUCAAACAGGUUUCCUUUCGGGUAGGAUAAUCUCGGAAAACUUUCUAUACGCCGCAGAUGUUCUCAAAGUUUGUGCCAGAACCAAAGUGCCCACACUUGUGAUUAAGCUCGAUUUCUCAAAAGCUUUCGACUCAGUUAACUGGCCCUCUCUCCUCUCCAUUCUCAGGGUCAGAGGCUUCUCGGAAAAAUGGAUUCUCCGGAUUGACACCCUGCUCCAAUCUGGAAAAACCGCAACGAACGUCGAUGGAAAAUCGAUGGCGCGAAUAAAUUUCCCAAUCUUUCACAGGACAAACUCAGCAACUCACAGUCCAAUAUCCAGUCUACACCAAAUAACAGACGAAAGAAACACAGGCUUACGAUCAGGUAGAUGCAAACCGGCGAGAACUACACGUACGUCUUCAAGUAGAAGAAGCGCAUGGGCGAUUCUACUAGAAUCGGUAGUAAAUUAG
rnacentral:rRNA from 1 species